UGCUCCAAUUUUAAAUGCUUUUCAUGACCUUACUUUCUUGUUUGUGCUCCAAUAAUGGUAGCUUAUUUGUUGGGUUCUCUUAAUUUUUGUGUUGCUGAAACAUCGGUUGUGAGUUCGGACAGGUUAGAAAUAAAUUUGAAAGAAAAAGUUCGGUUUUCUCUAAUGCCCAAAACGUAUUUGUAAAAAUGACAAAGCAAACGAAUUUCCGAAACGUAUUUCCUAAUUGCUCAAGUUGGGAAGGUUUUCUGGAUAUGCAUUUCAAAUUUAUGGAUUACUCUUAGUUGCAAAUUUUAUUUCAGCAUAAUUCGUAGAAUUUUUUGCAUCUCUUUGGUUUCUGCAAAAAAGAAGCAUGAAAGUUGUACUUCGGUUGAAAUACUUCAGAACUCAUACAGAGUCUUUUCCUGUGGAGGAUUAAUGUUUUGGCAAUAAUCGCAGACUGAAGCUUGAAGGAACUAUGGAAAAGAAUGAGGCUUUGUUUUUGUUUCUUCAAUAACUCAUAAUUGAAGCCUAAGUGCUUAAUUUUGUAAAAUGCAUUGUGGCAUACUGGAUCUGAAUUGUCUAGUCAGUCUUUUAGUCUUUGAUCGGAUCUAGUCAUAAUUUGACACGAAUUAUUAUUAUGUAUUGAUUAGUUCAGGCAAAUUGAAAGCCAUACCAUUACUUGAGUAUCGAAGAUGAAGUAUUAAGGCUUGAGGACUAAGGAAGUGCUGUUGUUGUUCCUAAUCCAAAGAAAUACUAUGUGAUUAACUCUUUACUCUCUGUCAAAUUAAUCUCUGAUUUUUCAGCAUGACAGGCAUGGAUCUCACGUCUCAGUGGCGCAUACUCGCUUCAUACGGCCUCUAAUUGAUUAUUUAGUGUCAUUGAAUGUUAUGCAAUUAAGCAAUUACUACCAGUGGACAAGGUUUGAAUUAUUUGUGGCUUUCUUGUGACUGGCAACAAUGAGCCUUGGUUAGAGAAGGCUUUCUCGUCUUUCAGGUGCAUCAUUCACAUAUAAAUGAGUUGAAAAUCAACCAGUGCCAAAGUCUACUGACCAGAUUACUAUAUCUAAUGCAAUUAUUGUUCUUUUGUGUUUAAGGAGGAACUACGAGGUCUUCUUCCAUGUGCUUGUGUGGCAGGGUCAUCUUAGCUGUCUUGCUUCCACCAUGGGCUGGCAGUGAAUACCAAUAACAUCACUUUGGUCCAUCUUAGUCUCUUCAGUUCAUAAAUACAGUGGUAAAGAAAGAAAUUGGCUGCCUGAUAGGAAUCUCAAUCACGGAAGAUUGGAGAAUUACUACUGGCUGAUAACUGGAAUACAAGUAGUAAAUGUGAUUUAUUAUCUAAUAUGUGCUUGGUUUUAUAUCCAUGAACCAUUGGAUUUGGCUGCUGAAAGCAGGGAUGCAAUGGAUUUGGAGUUAGCAAAGGAGAGAAUUUUACCUGUUGAUUCUAGUGUAAAGGCAGAAACAGAACAAGAAAGAAUUGGAACAUGUUAGAAUUGCCCGUAGAUUAGUUGAUGAUGUGCUUGCACCUUUUUAUGACUGCUUCCUGCAGUUCAGUGGAUUGAAAGUUGAAAUAUAUA